UAAUACAGAGGGUGCGAGCGUUGUUCGGAAUUACUGGGCGUAAAGCGCGCGUAGGCGGCUUCUUAAGUCUUACCGUGAAAUGCCGGGGCUCAACCCCGCGCACGUCGGGGGAUACUGGGGAGCUGGAGACAAGUAGAGGCGAGCGGAAUUCCGGGUGUAGCGGUGGAAUGCGUAGAGAUCCGGAAGAACACCAGAGGCGAAGGCGGCUCGCUGGGCUUGGUCUGACGCUGAGGCGCGAAAGCGUGGGGAGCGAACAGGAUUAGAUACCCUGGUAGUCCACGCCGUAAACGAUGGAUGCUAGACGCUGGGCGGAUCGACCCGGUCAGUGUCGCAGCUAACGCGAUAAGCAUCCCGCCUGGGGAGUACGGCCGCAAGGCUG
rnacentral:rRNA from 1 species